UGAAAAUCUGAAACUUAGGCUGCUAACUUGAGUUCGGGGAAUUUUGUUCUCCAU
rnacentral:tRNA from 1 species